rnacentral:rRNA from 1 species
AUUGAACGCUGGCGGCAUGCCUAACACAUGCAAGUCGAGCGCGCGGCGGACGGGUGAGUAAAGUCUGGGAAACUGCCUGAUGGAGGGGGAUAACUACAGGAGAAGGUAGCUAAUACCCCAUACCAUCAGAUGUGCCCAGAUGGGAUUAGCUAGUAGGUGGGGUAACGGCUCACCUAGGCGACGAUCCCUAGCUGGUCUGAGAGGAUGACCAGCCACACUGGACCUGGGACACGGUCCAGACUCCUACGGGAGGCAGCAGUGGGGAAUAUUGCACAAUGGGCGCAAGCCUGAUGCAGCCAUGCCGCGUGUGUGAAGAAGGCCUUCGGGUUGUAAAGCACUUUCAGCGGGGAGGCGUUACCCGCAGAAGAAGCACCGGCUAACUCCGUGCCAGCCGCCGCGGUAAUUC